GGGCCGUUAGCUCAGUUGGUAGAGCAGCUGACUCUUAAUCAGCGGGUCCGGGGUUCGAGUCCCCGACGGCCCUCCA
rnacentral:tRNA from 2 species